UCCCUGGUGAUCCAGUAGCUAGGACUCAGCACUUUUACUGCAAUGACCCAGGUUCAGUUCCUGGUCAGGGAA
rfam:Ovis aries breed Texel chromosome 11, whole genome shotgun sequence.